CCUACGGGAGGCAGCAGUGAGGAAUAUUGGUCAAUGGACGAGAGUCUGAACCAGCCAAGUAGCGUGAAGGAUGACUGCCCUAUGGGUUGUAAACUUCUUUUAUAUGGGAAUAAAACGUUCCACGUGUGGGAUUUUGUAUGUACCCUAUGAAUAAGGAUCGGCUAACUCCGUGCCAGCAGCCGCGGUAAUACGGCGGAUCCGAGCGUUAUCCGGAUUUAUUGGGUUUAAAGGGAGCGUAGGUGGAUUGUUAAGUCAGUUGUGAAAGUUUGCGGCUCAACCGUAAAAUUGCAGUUGAAACUGGCAGUCUUGAGUACAGUAGAGGUGGGCGGAAUUCGUGGUGUAGCGGUGAAAUGCUUAGAUAUCACGAAGAACUCCGAUUGCGAAGGCAGUUCACUGGACUGCAACUGACACUGAGGCUCGAAAGUGUGGGUAUCAAACAGGAUUAGAUACCCGUGUAGUC
rnacentral:rRNA from 1 species